UCAAGACAUCUGAGAAUUGACCACUAAUCUUGCACUGUUAUACAUGCAGUAUGCCUAUUGAUCCAAAAUACAGAAAUAUACAUUGACGGUGUCGCGAGUGGGGACACAACGAAAGUCACCGUGCUGUGUUAAGCAUGUCGAGGCGGAGAAUUUAAAUGACAGUGACCUCUGCUGGGGAUACGUGGAAGUGCACUGAGGUGAUGCGAAAGCACAGGAAAUACACUGAAUGCGCUUGGCUCCUAUGAAGAUCUGUUCUGUCCAAUUAAGUGAUGGAGGCUAAGACUGUUUCCUUGGAGGAGAUGUCAGUUUGAC